UUUUCCCCACCUCCUCCCCCUCCGCCGCCUCCUCUUCCUCCACCACCACCAACACUCCCUCCAGGACACCCCUGUCCCCUUGGAGUCCCGGCCCCGCGCCGCCUCUGCAGCGGCCCCCCUGGUCCCCAGGCCGGCUACACCUGAGCCGCCAGGACACACAGAAGCGCCGGCUCGCAGAUUCCUCGCGCGCAGCCGCCGCCGCCGCAGAUCCUCGAGGCCCGACGUCGGGGUUGCUGGGAGCCGCGCGAGGGUAAGCGGGCUGGGCUGGGUCGCGGACAGAACUAACGGAGCCCAGCGGCGCGGCCAGCGGCUUCCGAGAGAACACCCCAGCACACAGAGGUGACAUGCCUUUGGCCUCAAGAAUCCCCAAGCUUCUCACAGCUCUCGGACACUGACACCUGGAUUCCGACUCAAGCUUCAGCUUCCCAGAUCCACAUGAGGCUGGCCGAGGUGGCUGCUGGAGCUCCGGGAAUCUUGACACAAUCCAGACCGCAGAGCAAGGGGUAGAGGAAGGUCAUGUUCUUUCCCUUUAAGGGCACUUCGAGUUACUCUUCCCCUUGAGUCUCAUUGACCAGCACUCAGCCACCUUGUCACAGUGAGCUGCAAGGGAGUCUGGGAACUGGAGGCAAUCCACUCACGACGGAUUCUGUCAAAGGACAGAAAUCAGGAUAUGGACAUGGAAGUAAAUGGCAAGUCUUAGAUGUAACACUCUGUGGCAUAUAAUCCAGAAAACACAAAUUAAAUCAGAAAAGAUCUUUAUUUUUCUAUCAAAAUGGAAAUCCCUGUAAUGAUGCCGAUGGUGUCCUGCACUGAUGCCCAAGUGUCAGUUUCCUGAACUUCGGAGAACUCGACGAUGUGCAUUCAAAAUCAGCUGUGCUUUCCCCGGCUUCCUUACAACCUCACUCCCAGUCCUUACUUCCACUCCUUGAAGCCCCACUAAGGAAAUUGCCCUCCUUGUGCUCAUAGGUGCAAAAACAUGCAUUGUGGUGAUUAAAAGUUGGAAACAGCACAACAGCCAAAAAUCAAGCCAGAGACAGAGAAGUGGGGGAAGUGAACGCAUGACUUGGCAGGCGGGUGACGGUGCCCUGUACACUGACGCAAUACUUUCCAGCAUCGUCUAUAAAUCACAGUUGAAAGGACAGAACCCAGAGACCAUACAGGGCUCCAGUAUGAAGCGGUCAGCAAACUUUUCCUCGCCAGCAAUUACAGAUCCAGAGUGUCAACAAGAUUGUAGAAGGUGUGUUUAAAUCAAGUGUCUUCAAGUCUCCUCCAAGGUGACAGGCGCCCCCAGGAGAGUCUGGGGACUGCGAGACAAGAGCCCGAUGGACGCUUACCCCUCCCACCACCGGCCCCCUCAUGCUCGCUUUUGGAUUCACCAACUCGGGUCCUCUUCUCUUCUUCCAUGGCAGGACUGGAUUCUGCUACUUGGCAGGGGAGCUCAUUAGCGAGUGUCCCCUGUCAGCCUGGGGGACACUGAAGGUCAAGUCCAGGGACAGUGAUAGCAGGAAAGGGCUCUGGAAGGAACUUCUUCUACCUGUCUGUCUUCUAUCUGUCAUUCUUCCCCCAGGAAAGUGUCACCUCACCUAAAAGUCUGUAGACCAGGGUAAUAGCCCAUUCCCAAUCCGGAAAAGCUAACAGGCUGCCUCUGUUGUUUCUUCUCUUCUUUCCAUUUUAGUUUUAAUUGGGGGGGAGGGGUAAGUCCUCACCAGCAGUGCUCAGAGGACCCAGGACUCACAUCCCAGUGAUACUUGUCCAGCCAGCCCUAACGGCUCUGUGCUUGGCCCUGGCUGUGCAAUGCUGUUUAGGCCCAGCAACGCUGUCAACCUCUGGACUAGAUCCCAGAGUACUCAGAAGGCCAGGAGGUGCCAGGAAUCAAUCCAGGGCCUCGUGUAUUCCUGCCCUUUCAUCUCUCUCCCAGGACUGGCCACCCUGAUCUAAGGCAUUGCCUGUGGUCUAGCAACUGAGAGAGGUCGGAGAGCCUUGGGGAGGAGAGGGGAGUCUGCCAAUUCUGGAGUUUUCCAAAAUGAAACCUUCCACUUCUUUCUAGAUUCUCAGGCCCUAGACUGAAAUGUUAUAGGGUUAGGUUGCCCAACCCUAUCCCAGUUUAGAAAUUAUUUAUAAAUUGUUUCGGAGUUUAAACAAAAACAGAUUUCGGUGUUCUGCAGCUUUUAAGGGCAUAUAUAUAUAUAUAUAUAUAUAUAUAUAUAUAUAUAUAUAUAUUAUUGAAUUACCAUGAGAUACAGUUACAAGCUUUCAUGUUUGAGUUUCAAUCAUACAAUGAUCAAGCACCCAUCCCUCCACCAGUGCACAUUCUCCACCACCAAUGUCCCCAGUAAACUCUCCCCCUAUCCAGCCCUCCUUCUGCCUUCAUGGUGGACAAUUUCCCCCAUACUCUCUCUCUACUUUGGGGCAUUAUGGUUUGCAAUACAGAUAUUGAGAGGUUAUCACGUUUGGUCCUUUAUCUACUUUCUGCACACAUCUCCCAUCCCAAGUGAUUCCUCCAACCAUCAUUGGCUGAGUGAUCCCUUCUCUAUUCCAGCUGCCUUCUUCCCCAGCUCAUGAGAUAGGCUUCCAACUACGGGGCAAUAUUCCUGGCCUUUGUGUGUACUGUCCUUGGGUAUCAGUCUCAUGUUAUUUUAUAUUCCACAAAUGAGUGCAGUCUUAAGGGCACACUUUUACUCAGUCUGCAAAGGUGCUGUGAGCAGUGAGAGCAGAGCCCCAGCAUAAUAAUACAGAGAUGUAUGACCCCAUGAUCUCAGCUUUUACCAGCUUCUCCAGGUAGAUGCAGAGAGUCCUAGUUGGGGGAAAUAUAGAGCAACUACAGGACUGGCUUUCUUGCUGGCUUUCAAUCUGACCUCCUUCUGGGUUCCUAUUUAUACUGCCACAAAAAUGAAUCAUGUGGCUGGAAGGCAUAAUAAACCACUUUCAAAUCAUGCCCUCAUUCCAGUCUGUUGGUAGAUGCUUCCAGAGAGCUGUGUUGAGAAGAUGAUAGAGGGUUGGCGGGAAAGAAGGCUGGGAUCGAUUAGUAAUGUCUGCUGCGGACACAGGAAGGAAGACAAUGACACACUUACUCCUCCUCUAUUUGCCACUCCAGCCACAGACAUCUGGAGUUUCCUUUGAUUGUAUGUGUUCAUGAUUCCUCUCGCCUUCCCCACAGUCAAUCUUCAGUUGCUUGUAGGACAGAACCAUCAGCUUCAGAGGAACUGAGACCUGCACAGGCCAGCUGUUCCCGAGACCAGAAAUCAGAUGUAAAGCGUUUUUCCCCAGGAGUGCUGAGCUGAAUCCACAGGACACAAAGCCUGGCCCAUGUGGAGAUGGCCCCCUCCAGGAGUCCCCUCCCAAGAGACCAGGCAGGAUCUGGCCUCUGCACAAAGGAAUACUGACAAAAAGGAAAACACCGUAUGAAAAAGCGGGCUGCAGAGACCUGCAGGGAACAUGGGUCUCCCUGUCCAUAAGGCAGAAAUAAGUGGCUUGUCAUAUGUGACCACAUAUGUCUGGGGCCUGCUCCCAGCACUCCAAGUUGAAUGAGGGUGAUCCCACGUCCAUUCCUCUCUUUGGGGCACUGAGCCUAGAGAUAUUCUCUGUUCUGAACUCAGGUCUCCCCUUUGCAAGGCAGAAGCCUGGAUCUCACCACCUGGCCGUAACUGGUCAGUCCCAACAUCACGAUUCACUGGUUCUCAUUCCCGAGAUGUCUGCCUAAGAGUGGGUGGGUGCAAGUGCACGUGUGUGUGUGUGUGUGUGUGUGUGUGUGAGUGUGUGUACUCGCCUUUCUGAGCUGGGAAAAAUCCAUAUUCUCUCUCUUCUGACCGAAUUAAUCAAAUAAAUCUUCUGUAAGGAGCUGCUAAAUGAGUCACAGAUGGCUCUGCCCUUUUACAGGUUGCAGAAAGCACCCGUUACAGUUCUUUUAAUUUAUCAGAGAAAGAAAAAAAAAGGAUGCCCCAGUGCACCCCUUCCCGCUCGCAAUAAUAAUCAGAACCAGCCUAUUUUCCAAGGGUCCGAGACUCAUUUUCAAAAAAUGUGUCUCAAUAGAUGGAACAGCGGGGAGACUAUUUUGCCAAGUUCCAACCUCCAGCUCAGCAAAGGUGCCCUGGCUGGGGAGAGUGUUUAUAAAACCACAUUUAAUAAAAGAGAGUGUUCUAUUAAGUAUGUUUGCGAGUGUAUUUAAGCAUAUGGUUUCCAUAUCAGGCGUAAA